rnacentral:lncRNA from 10 species
GCAAAGUUCUGACCUCCAUGCCUGGAACAGAGUACCCUACGCGAAGGAAGGAUCAUUGCACCAUUACGGAGACGAGGAUACAAACUGUCAGGCCUCUGAGCCCAAGCUAAGCCAUCACAUCUCCUGUGACCUGCACAUAUACAUCCAGAUGACCUGAAGCAAAUGAAGAACCACAAAAAAUAACAUUCCACCAUUGUGAUCUGUUCCUACCCACCCUAACUGAUCAAUUGACCUUAUGACAAUACCCCCUCCCCGCCCUUGCAAUAAUAUACUUUGUCAUACUCCCCCGCCCUUAAGAAGGUACUUUGUAAUAUUCUCCCCGCCCUUGAGAAUGUACUUUGUGAGAUCCACCCCCUGCCUAUAAAAAAUUGCUCCUAACUCCACCGCCUAUCCCAAACCUAUAAGAACUAAUGAUAAUCCCAGCACCCUUUGCUGACUCCUUUCUUGGACACAGCCUGCUUGCACCCAGGUGAAAUAAACAGCCUUGUUGCUCACACAAAGC